rnacentral:piRNA from 1 species
UGGACUGACCACGAAGCCAUCACUUGGGA